rnacentral:lncRNA from 1 species
GAGAGAGCCAAAAGCAUGCAUGAACUUGUUGAUGUUCUAGGUUUACUACCACAUACAGGAAAAUUUACAUAACAAUCUCRCAUCCUACUCUGCAUCCAAGAUCUGUGGUGUAUUGUGGAUUUUUUUUUUCUUUCUUUUAGUCUAAGAAGGUUUCUGAAAUGGGGAAAGUGCCAACCUCAGAUCAUCAAAGGGUUACCUCGUCAAAACUGCCCAAGAGGUUAUAACAAAGAUAAUAGAAUUGCUUGA